rnacentral:lncRNA from 1 species
CGGUGGUGGCAGUGCGCGGCGGCCAGUAAGUGGACGACGCACCUAGGGUUAGGGUUACUUUUUUUUGUUGUUUUCUAAUUUGGGCCAUUUGGGUAGUUGGGCUUUAGAUUUUGGGCUUGAGAUAGUUGGGUCUGUGAUUGGGGUAUUGGACUAAUGUUUUGGGUUUGGACCACGGGUAAAUUAGGGCUGUACAAAAGGCAAAGAGAAGAAGUUAAGAUUUUCU